UACAGAGGGGGCAAGCGUUGUUCGGAAUUACUGGGCGUAAAGGGCGCGUAGGCGGCCUGCUAAGUCGAACGUGAAAUCCCUCGGCUUAACCGGGGAACUGCGUCUGAUACUGGAUGGCUAGAGAUUGGGAGAGGGAUGCGGAAUUCCAGGUGUAGCGGUGAAAUGCGUAGAUAUCUGGAGGAACACCGGUGGCGAAGGCGGCAUCCUGGACCAACACUGACGCUGAGGAGCGAAAGCCAGGGGAGCAAACGGG
rnacentral:rRNA from 1 species